AAUAUUGCACAAUGGGCGCAAGCCUGAUGCAGCAACGCCGCGUGCGCGACGAAGGCCUUCGGGUCGUAAAGCGCUUUUCGGGGAGAUGAGUACGGACAGUAUCCCCGGAAGAAGGAUCGGCUAACUACGUUCCAGCAGCCGCGGUAAUACGUAGGGGGCAAGCGUUAUCCGGAAUCAUUGGGCGUAAAGGGUGCGUAGGCGGCCCUAUAGGUCAGAGGUCAAAGGCUACGGCUCAACCGUAGUAAGCCUUUGAAACUGUAGGGCUUGAGUGCAGGAGAGGAGAGUGGAAUUCCUAGUGUAGCGGUGAAAUGCGUAGAUAUUAGGAGGAACACCAGUGGCGAAGGCGACUCUCUGGACUGCAACUGACGCUGAGGCACGAAAGCGUGGGGAGCGAACAGG
rnacentral:rRNA from 1 species